ACUGAACGCUGGCGGCAGGCCUAACACAUGCAAGUCGAGCGGGGUUUUCGGACUUAGCGGCGGACGGGUGAGUAAUGCGUAGGAAGCUACCCGAUAGAGGGGGAUACCAGUUGGAAACGACUGUUAAUACCGCAUAAUGUCUACGGACCAAAGUGUGGGACCUUCGGGCCACAUGCUAUCGGAUGCGCCUACGUGGGAUUAGCUAGUUGGUGAGGUAAUGGCUCACCAAGGCGACGAUCCCUAGCUGGUUUGAGAGGAUGAUCAGCCACACUGGAACUGAGACACGGUCCAGACUCCUACGGGAGGCAGCAGUGGGGAAUAUUGGACAAUGGGCGCAAGCCUGAUCCAGCCAUGCCGCGUGUGUGAAGAAGGCCUUCGGGUUGUAAAGCACUUUCAGUAGGGAGGAAGCGUUGUGUGUUAAUAGUACACAGCGUUGACGUUACCUACAGAAGAAGCACCGGCUAACUCUGUGCCAGCAGCCGCGGUAACAC
rnacentral:rRNA from 1 species